rnacentral:rRNA from 1 species
AGAGUUUGAUCCUGGCUCAGGAUGAACGCUGGCGGCGUGCCUAACACAUGCAAGUCGAACGAACAGUCGGAUUCUUCGGAUGACGACGGUUAGUGGCGCACGGGUGAGUAAUGCGUAGGUGACCUGCCCUAGAGUAGGGGAUAACUUCUCGAAAGAGAAGCUAAUACCGUAUAUGCUCAGUCAUUCAUUUGAUUGAGUAAAGCUCCGGCGCUCUAGGAGGGGCCUGCGUCCGAUUAGCUUGUUGGUGAGGUAAUGGCUCACCAAGGCUUUUAUCGGUAGCUGGUCUGAGAGGACGAUCAGCCACACUGGCACUGACACACGGGCCAGACUCCUACGGGAGGCAGCAGUGAGGAAUAUUGCGCAAUGGGCGAAAGCCUGACGCAGCAACGCCGCGUGGAGGAUGAAGGCCUUCGGGUUGUAAACUCCUUUUCUGAGGGAAGAGAACAAGGACGGUACCUCAGGAAUAAGUCUCGGCUAACUACGUGCCAGCAGCCGCGGUAAAACGUAGGAGGCGAGCGUUAUCCGGAUUUACUGGGCGUAAAGCGCACGCAGGCGGUUAUGUAAGUCGGACGUGAAAGCUCCUGGCUCAACUAGGAGAGGUCGUUCGAUACUGCGUAACUUGAGGUUAGGAGAGGGGAGCGGAAUUCCUGGUGUAGUGGUGGAAUGCGUAGAUAUCAGGAGGAACUCCAGUGGCGAAGGCGGCUCCCUGGCCUAUACCUGACGCUCAUGCGCGAAAGCGUGGGUAGCGAACGGGAUUAGAUACCCCGGUAGUCCACGCUGUAAACGAUGCGAACUAGGUGUUGGUGGUAUUGACCCUAUCAGUGCCGAAGCAAACGCGAUAAGUUCGCCGCCUGGGGACUACGGCCGCAAGGCUAAAAACUCAAAGGAAUUGUCGGGGACCCGCACAAGCAGCGGAGCGUGUGGUUUAAUUCGAUUCAACGCGAAGAACCUUACCUGGGCUUGACAUGGUCGUAGUAGUGAACCGAAAGGGGAACGAGCCUUCGGGCAGCGAUCACAGGUGCUGCAUGGCUGUCGUCAGCUCGUGUCGUGAGAUGUUGGGUUAAGUCCCGCAACGAGCGCAACCCUCGUCGCCAGUUACAAGUGUCUGGCGAGACUGCCGGAGUCAAACCGGAGGAAGGUGGGGAUGACGUCAAGUCAGCAUGCCCCUUAUGUCCAGGGCUACACACACGCUACAAUGGCCGGUACAAUGGGUCGCCAAACCGCGAGGUGGAGCUAAUCCCAUCAAAGCUGGUCUCAGUUCGGAUUGUAGGCUGCAACCCGCCUGCAUGAAGUCGGAGUUGCUAGUAACCGCAGGUCAGCCAUACUGCGGUGAAUACGUUCCCGGGUCUUGUACACACCGCCCGUCACGUCAUGGGAGCUGGUAACACCUGAAGCCGGUGAGCCAACCGCAAGGAGGCAGCUGUCGAGGGUGGGACUGGUGACUGGGACGAAGUCGUAACAAGGUA